CACCGAAGAGGCAACAUGUGAGCUGUCACACUGAGAAAGGCAUUUUCACCAGGCUGGCACAUGAACAAGAGAACAGAGGUUAUCUCAGUAGGAGACUCCUUGGUUUUCAGGUAUUAUGAUAACCCUCAAAUAUACAAGUGGAAGACAUGGCGGGUCACUAGAUUCUAUACUUCGCAUGAAAUUCAGUCCAUCACACCAUCAGUUCCUGUGGGAGCCUUGGACAGAAGCUGCGAGUAAGGUCACUGUGCCUGCAAAGCUGAAAGCUCCUACCCGUGUGAGGGAGAUGGGGAUUGUAUCCAGGAAGAGGCUGCUGUCAUUUUAUGAUUCAACAUGAAAAGUCUCUUUGAAUUGUCUCUUGGCAGUGACUCAGCGUCAGGAAUUUCUGUGGAAGUAAACAAGGUCGCUACAACAAUGCUCCCAAUUGAUUGGGUAAGAGUCCUUGGCUGUUUGCACUUCCAGGAGACCUUUUAAGUUUCUCCUAGCAAGGGCUCAGCAGUAAGGUAAGGUCUGAGUCACAGAGGACUCUGAAGCAGGCAGCAGUCUGGUUACAGGAAAUUCAUACUCCAAGCCCAUAUGGGAACUCGUAAGAAGAGCGACACGCUGAACCAAUGAACUCUCGAACUUCAUAUCUUCCUGCAGAAGGCAGCUAAACAGAGCUUGGCCCUACCAGAGGGGAUUAAAUAGCCCGGGAAGGAUUGGCAGAAAUAUAAAUACAUAUGUUCUAACUGAA